rnacentral:rRNA from 1 species
CAUAGGUUAAUGAGGCGAACCGGGGGAACUGAAACAUCUAAGUACCCCGAGGAAAAGAAAUCAACCGAGAUUCCCCCAGUAGCGGCGAGCGAACGGGGAGCAGCCCAGAGCCUGAAUCAGUGUGUGUGUUAGUGGAAGCGUCUGGAAAGGCGCGCGAUACAGGGUGACAGCCCCGUACACAAAAAUGCACAUGCUGUGAGCUCGAUGAGUAGGGCGGGACACGUGGUAUCCUGUCUGAAUAUGGGGGGACCAUCCUCCAAGGCUAAAUACUCCUGACUGACCGAUAGUGAACCAGUACCGUGAGGGAAAGGCGAAAAGAACCCCGGCGAGGGGAGUGAAAAAGAACCUGAAACCGUGUACGUACAAGCAGUGGGAGCACGCUUAGGCGUGUGACUGCGUACCUUUUGUAUAAUGGGUCAGCGACUUAUAUUCUGUAGCAAGGUUAACCGAAUAGGGGAGCCGAAGGGAAACCGAGUCUUAACUGGGCGUUAAGUUGCAGGGUAUAGACCCGAAACCCGGUGAUCUAGCCAUGGGCAGGUUGAAGGUUGGGUAACACUAACUGGAGGACCGAACCGACUAAUGUUGAAAAAUUAGCGGAUGACUUGUGGCUGGGGGUGAAAGGCCAAUCAAACCGGGAGAUAGCUGGUUCUCCCCGAAAGCUAUUUAGGUAGCGCCUCGUGAAUUCAUCUCC